rnacentral:rRNA from 1 species
GUCCACGCCGUAAACGAUGGAUACUAGCUGUUGGGGCAACUUCAGUGGCUAAGCGAAAGUGAUAAGUAUCCCACCUGGGGAGUACGUUCGCAAGAAUGAAACUCAAAGGAAUUGACGGGGGCCCGCACAAGCGGUGGAGCAUGUGGUUUAAUUCGAUGAUACGCGAGGAACCUUACCAAGGCUUAAAUGUAGAUUGACCGGUUUUGGAAACAGACUUUUUCGCAAGACAAUUUUACAAGGUGCUGCAUGGUUGUCGU